AGUGAACGCUGGCGGUAGGCCUAACACAUGCAAGUCGAACGGCAGCACAGUAAGAGCUUGCUCUUACGGGUGGCGAGUGGCGGACGGGUGAGGAAUACAUCGGAAUCUACUUUUUCGUGGGGGAUAACGUAGGGAAACUUACGCUAAUACAGCAUACGAUCUACGGGUGAAAGCAGGGGAUCUUCGGAGCUUGCGUGAUUGAAUGAGCCGAUGUCGGAUUAGCUAGUUGGCGGGGUAAAGGACCACCAAGGCGACGAUCCGUAGCUGGUCUGAGAGGAUGAUCAGCCACACUGGAACUGAGACACGGUCCAGACUCCUACGGGAGGCAGCAGUGGGGAAUAUUGGACAAUGGGCGCAAGCCUGAUCCAGCCAUACCGCGUGAGUGAAGAAGGCCUUCGGGUUGUAAAGCCCUUUUGUUGGGAAAGAAAAGCAGCAGGUUAAUACCCCGCUGUUCUGACGGUACCCAAAGAAUAAGCACCGGCUAACUUCGUG
rnacentral:rRNA from 1 species